GAUGAACGCUGGCGGCGUGCUUAACACAUGCAAGUCGAACGGGAAAUACUUUAUUGAAACUUCGGUCGAUUUAAUUUAUUUCUAGUGGCGGACGGGUGAGUAACGCGUGGGUAACCUGCCUUAUACUGGGGGAUAACAGCCAGAAAUGACUGCUAAUACCGCAUAAGCGCACAGAACCGCAUGGUUCCGUGUGAAAAACUCCGGUGGUAUAAGAUGGACCCGCGUUGGAUUAGCUAGUUGGCAGGGCAGCGGCCUACCAAGGCGACGAUCCAUAGCCGGCCUGAGAGGGUGAACGGCCACAUUGGGACUGAGACACGGCCCAGACUCCUACGGGAGGCAGCAGUGGGGAAUAUUGCACAAUGGGGGAAACCCUGAUGCAGCGACGCCGCGUGAAGGAAGAAGUAUCUCGGUAUGUAAACUUCUAUCAGCAGGGAAGAUAAUGACGGUA
rnacentral:rRNA from 1 species